rnacentral:misc_RNA from 1 species
GAUGAAGAACGUAGCGAAAUGCGAUAAGUAGUGUGAAUUGCAGAAUUCAGUGAAUCAUCGAAUCUUUGAACGCACAUUGCGCCCUUUGGUAUUCCAAAGGGCAUGCCUGUUCGAGCGUCAUUUGUACCCUCAAGCUUUGCUUGGUGUUGGGCGUCUUGUCUCUAGCUUUGCUGGAGACUCGCCUUAAAGUAAUUGGCAGCCGCCCUACUGGUUUCGGAGCGCAGCACAAGUCGCACUCUCUAUCAGCAAAGGUCUAGCAUCCAUUAAGCCUUUUUUUCAACUUUUGACCUCGGAUCAGGUAGGGAUACCCGCUGAACUUAAGCAUAUCAAUAAGCGGAGGA